rnacentral:sRNA from 12 species
UACCUUGCCUCUAGGCAAAACAUAUCAAUUCUGAAGCUGUAUUAGUAGACUUUGAAAGCAAAAUUUCAAAGGUUGAAAAUUCGGCAAACGAGCAUACAA